rnacentral:rRNA from 1 species
CCUACGGGGGGCUGCAGUGGGGAAUAUUGGACGAUGGGGGGAACCCUGAUCCAGCCAUGCCGCGUGUGUGAAGAAGGCCCUCGGGUUGUAAAGCACUUUCAGUGAGGAAGAACGCCUGGUGGUUAAUACCCAUCAGGAAAGACAUCACUCACAGAAGAAGCACCGGCUAACUCCGUGCCAGCAGCCGCGGUAAUACGGAGGGUGCGAGCGUUAAUCGGAAUUACUGGGCGUAAAGCGCGCGUAGGUGGCUUGAUAAGCCGGUUGUGAAAGCCCCGGGCUCAACCUGGGAACGGCAUCCGGAACUGUCAAGCUAGAGUGCAGGAGAGGAAGGUAGAAUUCCCGGUGUAGCGGUGAAAUGCGUAGAGAUCGGGAGGAAUACCAGUGGCGAAGGCGGCCUUCUGGACUGACACUGACACUGAGGUGCGAAAGCGUGGGUAGCAAACAGGAUUAGAUACCCUAGUAGUC